rnacentral:rRNA from 1 species
CGAGGAAUAUUGCGCAAUGGAGGAAACUCUGACGCAGUAACGCCGCGUGGGGGAAGAAGACCUUCGGGUUGUAAACCUCUUUUGUUUAGGACGAGUGAGGACGGUACUAGAAGAAUAAGUCUCGGCUAACUACGUGCCAGCAGCCGCGGUAAGACGUAGGAGGCGAGCGUUAUCCGGAUUCACUGGGCGUAAAGCGCAUGUAGGCGGAUGUUUAAGUCAUGUGUUAAAGCCCCUGGCUCAACUGGGGGAGGUCAUGUGAGACUAAACGUCUUGAGGACCGUAGAGGCACGUGGAACUCCCGGUGUAGCGGUGGAAUGCGUAGAGAUCGGGAAGAACACCAGUGGCGAAGGCGACGUGCUGGGCGGUAACUGACGCUGAGAUGCGAAAGUGUGGGGAGCAAACGGGAUUAGAUACCCCUGUAGUCC